GGCGAACGGGUGAGUAACGCGUGGGCAACCUGCCCUCCAGUUGGGGACAACAUUCCGAAAGGGAUGCUAAUACCGAAUGUGCUCCCUCCUCCGCAUGGAGGAGGGAGGAAAGAUGGCCUCUGCUUGCAAGCUAUCGCUGGAAGAUGGGCCCGCGUCUGAUUAGCUAGUUGGUGGGGUAACGGCUCACCAAGGCGAUGAUCAGUAGCCGGUCUGAGAGGAUGAACGGCCACAUUGGGACUGAGACACGGCCCAAACUCCUACGGGAGGCAGCAGUGGGGAAUCUUCCGCAAUGGACGAAAGUCUGACGGAGCAACGCCGCGUGAGUGAUGAAGGUCUUCGGAUUGUAAAACUCUGUUGUUAGGGACGAAAGCACCGUGUUCGAACAGGUCAUGGUGUUGACGGUACCUAACGAGGAAGCCACGGCUAACUACGUGCCAGCAGCCGCGGUAAUACGUAGGUGGCAAGCGUUGUCCGGAAUUAUUGGGCGUAAAGAGCAUGUAGGCGGGCUUUUAAGUCUGACGUGAAAAUGCGGGGCUUAACCCCGUAUGGCGUUGGAUACUGGAAGUCUUGAGUGCAGGAGAGGAAAGGGGAAUUCCCAGUGU
rnacentral:rRNA from 1 species